rnacentral:rRNA from 1 species
GUGCCAGAAGCAUCGGUAAGACAGAGGGCGCAAGCGUUGUUCGGAUUUACUGGGCGUAAAGGGCGUGUAGGCGGAUGUGCAAGUCGGGGGUGAAAGGCCAGGGCUUAACCCGGGACGGUCUCCCGAAACUGCGCAUCUAGAGAAAGUCAGAGGCAGGUGGAAUUCCAGGUGUAGAGGUGAAAUUCGUAGAGAUCUGGAGGAACACCGGCGGCGAAGGCGUCCUGCUGGGGCUUUUCUGACGCUGAGGCGCGAAAGCGUGGGGAGCAAACAGGAUUAGAUACCCUGGUAGUCCACGCUGUAAACGAUGAGCACUAGAUGUGCGCGGUAUGACCCCGCGCGUGUCGCAGCUAACGCAAUAAGUCCUCCGCCUGGGGACUACGGUCGCAAGACUAAAACUUAAAUGAAUUGACGG